UACGUAGGUGGCGAGCGUGUCCGGAUUUACUGGGCGUAAAGCGCGCGCAGGCGCAGUCUAAGUCCUCUGUGAAAUCACCCGGCUCACUGGGUGGCUGCGGAGGAGACUGGGCAGCUUGAGGGGCCUAGAGGCCGUGGAACUCCCGGUGUAGUGUGGAAAUGCGUAGAGAUCGGGGAAGAACACCGGUGGCGAAGGCGGGGUCUC
rnacentral:rRNA from 1 species